rnacentral:rRNA from 1 species
ACGGGAGGCAGCAGUGGGGAAUAUUGCACAAUGGGCGCAAGCCUGAUGCAGCAACGCCGCGUGAGGGAAGACGGUUUUCGGAUUGUAAACCUCUGUUCUUGGUGACGAAGAAGUGACGGUAGCCAAGGAGAAAGCCACGGCUAACUACGUGCCAGCAGCCGCGGUAAUACGUAGGUGGCAAGCGUUAUCCGGAAUUACUGGGUGUAAAGGGAGCGCAGGCGGGACAGCAAGUCAGCGGUGAAAUGUGUGGGCUCAACCCAUGAACUGCCGUUGAAACUGUUGUUCUUGAGUGGAGUAGAGGUAGGCGGAAUUCCGAGUGUAGCGGUGAAAUGCGUAGAUAUUCGGAGGAACACCAGUGGCGAAGGCGGAUUACUGGACGACCACUGACGCUGAGACACGAAAGCGUGGGGAGCAAACAGGAUUAGAUACCCUGGUA